UGGGGAUUCGCCAAGUGGUAAGGCACCGGGUUCUGGUCCCGGCAUUCGGGGGUUCGAAUCCCUCAUCCCCAGCCA
rnacentral:tRNA from 5 species